rnacentral:rRNA from 1 species
UACGGAGGGGGCUAGCGUUGUUCGGAAUCACUGGGCGUAAAGCGCGCGUAGGCGGCUUUGUAAGUCGGAUGUGAAAGCCCAGGGCUCAACCCUGGAAUUGCAUUCGAUACUGCAGAGCUAGAGUAUGGUAGAGGGAAGUGGAAUUUCCGGUGUAGCGGUGAAAUGCGUAGAUAUCGGAAGGAACACCAGUGGCGUAGGCGACUUCCUGGGCCAAUACUGACGCUGAGGUGCGAAAGCGUGGGGAGCAAACAGGAUUAGAAACCCCAGUAGUCC